UGGGGUGUAUUCCAGUGGUAGAAUGCUUGCCUGGGGCAUGUGCAAGGCCUUGGGUUGGAUCCCCAGUACCACAA
rnacentral:tRNA from 1 species